CUCAAAUGAAUUGACGGGGGUCAGCACAAGCGGUGGAGACAUGUGGUUUAAUUCGAUGCAACGCGACGUACCUUACUUGGUCUUGACAUCCACUGAAGAUUUCUGAGAUGAGAAUAUGCAUGUCGGAACCGUGAGACAGGUGUUGCAUGGCUGUGAUCAGAACCGUGUUGUGAAAUGUUGGGUUAAGUCCCGCAACGAGCGCAACCCUUUCCUUUGUUGCCAGCGGUCCGGCCGGGAAAUCAAAGGAGACUGCCAGUGAUAAAUUGGAGGAAGGUGGGGAUGACGUCAAGUCAUCAUGGCCCUUAGGACCAGGGUUACACACGUGCUACAAUGGUGCAUACAACGAGAAGCGACCUCUCGAGAGCAAGCGGACAUCAUAAAGUGGGUCGUAGUCCGGAUUGGAGUCUGCAACUCGACUCCAUGAAGUCGGAAUCGUGGAGUUAUCGUGGAUCAGAAUGCCACGGUGAAUAAGUUCCCGGGCCUUGUACACACCGCCCGUCACACCAUGGGAGCGGGUGGCAAAAGAAGUAGGUAGCUUAACCUUCGGGAGGGCGCUUACCACUUUGUGAUUCAUGACUGGGGUGAAGUCGUGGCAAGGUAGCC
rnacentral:rRNA from 1 species